AGUGAACGCUGGCGGUAGGCCUAACACAUGCAAGUCGAACGGCAGCACAGGAGAGCUUGCUCUCUGGGUGGCGAGUGGCGGACGGGUGAGGAAUACAUCGGAAUCUACCUUUUCGUGGGGGAUAACGUAGGGAAACUUACGCUAAUACCGCAUACGACCUACGGGUGAAAGUGGGGGACCGCAAGGCCUCACGCGAUUAGAUGAGCCGAUGUCCGAUUAGCUAGUUGGCGGGGUAAUGGCCCACCAAGGCGACGAUCGGUAGCUGGUCUGAGAGGAUGAUCAGCCACACUGGAACUGAGACACGGUCCAGACUCCUACGGGAGGCAGCAGUGGGGAAUAUUGGACAAUGGGCGCAAGCCUGAUCCAGCCAUACCGCGUGGGUGAAGAAGGCCUUCGGGUUGUAAAGCCCUUUUGUUGGGAAAGAAAUCCUAUCGGUUAAUAACCGGUGGGGAUGACGGUACCCAAAGAAUAAGCACCGGCUAACUUCGUGCCAGCAGCCGCGGUAAUACGAAGGGUGCAAGCGUUACUCGGAAUUACUGGGCGUAAAGCGUGCGUAGGUGGUGGUUUAAGUCUGCUGUGAAAGCCCUGGGCUCAACCUGGGAAUUGCAGUGGAUACUGGAUUACUAGAGUGUGGUAGAGGGAUGCGGAAUUUCUGGUGUAGCAGUGAAAUGCGUAGAGAUCAGAAGGAACAUCCGUGGCGAAGGCGGCAUCCUGGGCCAACACUGACACUGAGGCACGAAAGCGUGGGGAGCAAACAGG
rnacentral:rRNA from 1 species